ACUAUCAAAAGUUUAUUUGCCGGCGUUGGGAUGGAUCCUGCAACUCCACACGAUUCCAUUUUACAAGCUGAUGGAACGAACCUAUGGCGCCGAGAUUAUUAACUUGGUGGCUCGUGUCAACGACCAACUUACUGCCGGUCCUGCCAAUCUCGUAAAACAUCUGUCAGAGUUUGCGCCUUUGCUUCUCAAGGCUCUUCAGCCGUGGCCACAGUUCUCAGGCGCUUUCGUAUCUCUCCUGACUAUCGCUCACAACGUUGUCGAAUCGGGAAUGGAACGGAAACGGUAUCAUGCAGCCGAUGAGUUAAUUGCAACAGCAGAACUUAUUGAUGCCGUGGAAUCUGUAUAUACGUGCCUUCGCUCCAUUGAUGCCGAGUAUCAAUCUUACAUUUCGAAGAAGUCUUCUUGGGUUACCAAUGAUAGCAGCGAGUCUGUUCUCCGUUACAUCGGCUACUCCUACCAUAACAUUGCUGUUUUGAAUAGUCAGCUGGCAGUGCAGAUGACGCGCGAUCUUGGCGUUGAUGUUCCGGAAAAUGCCAAACAGGAAGAAUAUCCUUCCAUCAUCCACCUAGGUUGGAAGUUCCAAGUCUUAAAGAGGCAUAUCACAGAGGGUCGAAUGGAGCUCCGCGUCUAUGGAAUGGAGACUAUGCAGGCUGAUCUUGUCAGUGUCUGGCGACAACAUAUACAAGGAAACCCUGCCGGCGUUAACUAUCCAAUUAUCCAGUAUCUUGUGAAAUUCCUGAGGGACAACAAGAUCGUGGAGUACAUUGUCGGUGUGGAUUCGCAUCCCCAGUUGAUUAGCCGAAGUGGAAACGUAGUUGGGUUCCUUGUUGUAACGUCCACAUACGCGGACAACGACACCGAUAUUAUUUGGAACACGGUGACUGAAAGCCAGGACCCGAGAACCGUGGCGG
rnacentral:sRNA from 2 species